ACACAGUCCUGGAUACAGCAAAAUUUCAUUCUGGUGUUGUAAACUGUGCACUGCCGAGCAUCGUAGCUAAGAGUUUUGAUAUGUGUGGCACCUGUAUAUAUCACUGGAAAAGUUCGGAGGGCAAGAGAGGUAACUGAGGCUUGGAGAGGAAAGCUGUCACUUGCCCAUGUUCACUCCGAAUGCAUGACUGCGUGGGCUGGGGGAUGAGACCUUCUGAUGUCCAGUCUCGGCCACCAGAGGCAGGACCGUGAGAGGCCACAGCUUUGUCCACUCCUGUUAGCACAGACUUCUGGAGCCUGUUAUCCAGUUUGAAUUCUCGGCUUCACCACUUACUAACGACAAACAGAAGACUGGAUAUUACCCCACAGGGGCUGAGGCACAGCCGUGGUUUUUCGCUUUGUGCUUUAGUGAGCUUCACAUUUGCUGAGCCUUAGUUCCGCAGCGACCAGUGUGCUGUAAUUCCAUCCAUUCC